UACGUAGGUGGCGAGCGUUAUCCGGAAUCAUUGGGCGUAAAGAGGGAGCAGGCGGCCGCAAGGGUCUGUGGUGAAAGACCGAAGCUAAACUUCGGUAAGCCAUGGAAACCGGGCGGCUAGAGUGCGGAAGAGGAUCGUGGAAUUCCAUGUGUAGCGGUGAAAUGCGUAGAUAUAUGGAGGAACACCAGUGGCGAAGGCGACGGUCUGGACCGCAACUGACGCUCAUUCCCGAAAGCGUGGGGAGCAAAUAGG
rnacentral:rRNA from 1 species